rnacentral:lncRNA from 1 species
CACGAGUUAGAAGAAUAGCUCACGUUACCAGCUUAUGGCUUAACCUUAACCAGAACCCAAGUGAGCAAAUCAAAGAUAGGCUAUCUGGACAUUGAAAUCAAUGUCAGUAACAGCAUUCUAACAACAGCUGUUUACAGAAAGCUGCAAUAUCAACCUGUAAUCGUACCGGACUGGUCCCCCGAUCCGCCCUCGUUUAAAAAAAGCGGCAUUUAGGGCCUUUUUUAAAAGAGCUUAUAGAUACUGCACAGUGGAAGAGAAGCUAGAGGAGGAACUUGAAUAUAUUUACAAAGUAGGAAAGAAACAUGGUUAUCGAACAGGUUUCUUGAAGACCGUAGAGAAGAAGAUAAAACAACCUAAACCACAACCCAAGAUCAGCAGCUGGGAAGAGUGACCAGAGAACCAAAGACCAGUGUUGCAUCCCAGUCCCAUGCCAAUUGAUAACUAAGAUGAGCACUGUGAAAAGCAUUUUUAAAAAACAGGUAGGAAGCUGGCAAGGUGCAGAGUGACCAUGAUAUUUAAUAGUAUGAGAAACGAGAAGCACAUGAGAGAUGCAAACAGAAGAUCAGUGUACAAAGUUCUGGUGGAAGUAGUGGAAACAGGAGUGUGUUUGUCGUACAUAGGGGUUAUGAACAUGAUGCUUAAACAGAGGCUAGACAAGCACAAAAGGGAUAUAGCGAAAGGCAACAUUGACAUAGUAUUAGCUGCAGAAGCCUUUAGUAAUGACAUCACCAUACACUGGGAUAAGGCUAAGGUAAUAAAACCAGUACUAAGAAAAUCAUAAGCUUUGAUGAUGGAAGCGCUGGAGAUUAUGAAAGAGGACAAGAAAGGCAAGACACUUAAUGAAUGCACCGCAGUCACUGUACCAGCAGCAUGGAGAUAUCUUCUUGAAAGACAUAAAACUUAAAAAUGCGUUUGUGCUACAGUAUUUGUUUAUUUGAGAUGAAUGGCUGCACGAGGCUCUGCCCAGCACCUUUGUUCUUAUUUUUAUUUUUGUCUUAUUCUAUUAAGGUCUUAUUAUAUGUAAAGUGCUUUCAUUCUUGUAUGUGCACUAUGAUUGUACAGCAGCUUGCAGCGCUUUCCAAAGAAACGUGCACCUACAAAAAUUUAUCUUUUAUUUUUUUAUUUUUAUUUCUUAUUCUUAUUGUUCAUGUUCUUUUUUAAUUUUAUAUUCAUAUGUUCUAGAAUCCUUAACCAUUUUUUGUUUAUGUUUAAAACCUGAUGAUGGC